rnacentral:rRNA from 1 species
CAGCAGGCGCGAAACCUUUACACUGCACGCAAGUGCGAUAGGGGAAUCCCAAGUGCGAAGGCAUACUAGCCUUCGCUUUUGUUGACUGUAAGGAGGUCAACGAAUAAGAGCUGGGCAAGACCGGUGCCAGCCGCCGCGGUAAUACCGGCAGCUCGAGUGAUGUCCCCUAUUAUUGGGCCUAAAGCGUCCGUAGCUGGCCGCACAAGUCCGUCGGGAAAUCCACCUGCCCAACAGGUGGGCGUCCGGCGGAAACUGUGUGGCUUGGAACCGGAAGGCUCAGAGGGUACGUCCGGGGUAGGAGUGAAAUCCUGUAAUCCCGGACGGACCACCGAUGGCGAAAGCACUCUGAGAAGACGGAUUCGACAGUGAGGGACGAAAGCUAGGGUCUCGAACCGGAUUAGAUACCCGGGUAGUCCUAGCUGUAAACGAUGCUCGU